GAUGAACGCUGGCGGCGUGCUUAACACAUGCAAGUCGAACGAAGCACUUCAUUUUAUUUCCUGCGGGAGUGAUGAUUUUGUGACUGAGUGGCGUACGGGUGAGUAACUCGUGUGUAACCUGCCUUGUACAGGGGGAUAACAGUUGGAAACGGCUGCUAAUACCGCAUAAGCGCACAGCAUCGCUUGAGGCAGUGGGGAAAACUCCGGUGGUAUAAGAGGGACUCGCGUUGGAUUGGCUAGUUGGUGGGGUAACGGCCCACCAAGGCGACGAGGCAUAGCCGAAAUGGGAAGGUGACCGGCUAGAUUGGGAAUGCGACCCGGCCCAAACUCUUACGGAAGACAGGAGUAGGUAAUAUUGCACACUGGACCAAAGCCUGAUGCAGCGACGCGGCGUGAGACAAGAAGCAGUUCGGUAUGUAAAGCUCUCUCAGAAGGGAAGAUAAUGACGGUAACUGACAAAGAAGCACCGGCUAAAUACGUG
rnacentral:rRNA from 1 species